CAUUUCUGAGUCUGUAGCAGCCGGCACUGCUGCUGAGGGUGGGGGGUGGUGGAGCGGAGUCCAGGGAUUACAGCAGCUGGUGAACUCUACUCUUUCAGCAGUGACUCACACCCGCACAGGCGUGUACCCACACAGGUCCGCGCACCGAUAAAAAUAGGCCCAACCCUGCCGCCUCUCUGGCGGAGGCCCGCCCCGCUGAGUGUGGCCCAUAUGGACAGAGAAACUGGUGUGGCAUGGCCUGCGGGGGGGGACAGAUGGACCCAGGCUUUUCAGCCCAGCACAGAGCCUGCGUUCCACGCUGGAAACAGCGGAGGCGUUCGAGCCCCGCUAUGUGAGAGAAGGAGGCCAUCUUGGAUCACUGAGCAUAGCUGAUGUCACCACUUGCUAGCACCUGCUUCCCUGGAAGGCCCAAGGCUCGAAGGCCUAUAGCAACUGGCUCCUUUGACAUCAGCUCGUUGCUGAGCAACAGCACAGAGUGACAUAAGGCAGUUGUCGUGGUAACAAUUCUCCUGGAGAGAAACGUCAUGAAGGACCUGGGUGGGACAACAUUUGCUUAACCAAUGAUAGUAGAGCUAUCACAGAAGAAGUAUCCUGUUUUCCUCCUUUUCUAAGAUGGUGUCUGAUUCCCACUCAACCCAGACACACUCAAAACAAUGCUGUCCUGUAUUAAUAUUAUCUCCUUUUACUACAUGAUUCAUAUUAUUGACAGUGUGUGUCCUUGGUAUAACCUAUUCCUACAUGUAAGUUAUUAAAUUUACCAGAUUAUCAAUCUUUAUAACUCAUAGUGGGUGGCAUGGUGGUGCAGUGGUUAGCAUUGUUGCCUCACACCUCCGGAAUCAGCGUUUGAGUCUCUGUCAUGCCCAUAGGUGUGUAUGGUGUGUGUGUGUGCCCUGUAAUCGGAUGGCGCCCCAAACAGGGUUGUUCCCUGCCUUGCACCUGUAGCCUCCAGGAUAGGCUCUGGACCCCCUGUGAUCCUGAAUAGAAGAUGGAUAAAUCAUUGCUUGUCUUAAGGUUCAUAUUUAUCUUUGAAUCAUGCAGCAAAUCCUUGAGUAUUGAUAUUCACAUACACGUUUUAUAAACCUUGGCUGUUAGCAGUGGCCAAAGAGCUGAGCUAUGUUACCGACAUACGUUUUGUCAAACAUAUGAACACAAACCAUUCCCCUGCUUCGUGGAUUUCCUGCUUCCGUGGUUUUUCACUUUAUCCUGGCUGGCUAUGUCAGAUGCCACUGCACAGAUUAGCACUGCCCAUGUUGAGCCCCCUGGUGCUGCAAUCCGCAAACCCCUGGUGCUUCUUGGCUCCUUCUUCAUUGCACAUUUACGCCGGGAGCUCCUGAGGUCACCUGUUCCAGGAGGACAUCGAGUACACAAGAGCCCCAUUGCUGAGCCACAGCCUGCACCUAUUUCAGGCCUUGUAUUCCCCAACCUACCCCAAUCCUUACUCUUGCUUCCAAAAAGAUCUUUAUUUUCUGUUGCAAGAUAAAGGAAAAUACGGCUAUGAUCCUCUGACAGGAAGCGCUUAAAUAGGGCCAUCUUGCCCAUAGUGACAUUACAGCUGUUGUUUUCUGCCAUCUGAUUUCCUCCAAGGCCAGAAUGGUUAGAGGAACAUCGUUUUCAGAGUAUGGAUGGUACUCGCUUGCGAGCAAAGGGAGCGGCGGUUCCUUUGGCUCAGGAUGUGCCUACACAGGCUCUAGUGCCAUCUUUGGCAACUCGGCAGGGCUGAAUGAUCGGUAAUGUGGGUAUCGUGACAUGAUUUUAAUGGACUUCAUUAGGCCGAGUUUUAGCGCAUUCUCUUCAACGUAGCCCCCUCACCUCACAGUAUCAGCACAUGCUAAUUAAGGAAAUUUCAGUUACCUGGUAUUAGGUUGGAAUAGUAUGCAAUCUUGCAACUGUUGCGUGAACUUAUAGUAGUAGGUUAAUCAGUCUGAUUGAAUUAGGAUUUUUCUCCACAUUCUGUAUGCAGCAAUCUGGUAUGGCCAAAAAAUUACCCAAAGGCCACAUGCAAACAUGACUUGUGAAAGACAGAUCGUAUAAACACUAGACAGCCCCCUUUCGAAAAGCAUGGAUUGCAGCAGAAUGGUUCCUCUGAUGAUCCGCCCCAAACAGCCACGCCCACAAACACAAAGCCACACCCACAAACACACAAAGCCACACCCACAAAUAAGGAGCCAGCCACCCAAAAUCAGUAUCCAGGAGCAACCUUUAUUUCGGCCCUGUCCCUCCAGGAGACCUCCACUCAGUCUGGCUUUCCAUAUCAACCAACAGUUUGACAAAUACAGGCCAGAGAGAACACUGAAAGCAGCUAUUUUGCUCAGCCAAAGUUUGACUUCUUAAAAUGAACAAUAAAAUAAUUUAAAAACUCAAAA